rnacentral:rRNA from 1 species
UGAAUACGAGACGCUAAGGCGUCGAAGUAGUGUAUGUCAUACUUCCAAGAAAAGCUUGCACUGUCAUAGAUAAAAAACGCCUGUACCAUAACCGACACAGGUGGGUAGGUAGAGUAUACUAAGGGGCGCGAGAUAACUCUCACUAAGGAACUCGGCAAAAUAACUCCGUAACUUCGGGAGAAGGUGUGCCUUAUUCGUAAGGUUGCAAUAACAAGAUCCAAGCAACUGUUUAUCAAAAACACAGGUCUCCGCUAAGUCGUAAGACGAUGUAUGGGGGCUGACGCCUGCCCAGUGCCAGAAGGUUAAAGAAGUUGGUUAGCAAUUGCGAAGCUGAUAACUGAAGCCCUGGUGAACGGCGGCCGUAACGAUAACGGUCCUAAGGUAGCGAAAUUCCUUGUCGGGUAAGUUCCGACCCGCACGAAAGGCGUAAUGAUUUGGAUACUGUCUCGGAGAGGGGCUCGGUGAAAUAGACUUGUCUGUGAAGAUGCGGACUACCUGCACCAGGACAGAAAGACCCUAUGAAGCUUUACUGUAACUUGAAAUUGAAAUUGGACUUUAUUCGCGCAGUAUAGGUGGGAGGCGUUGAUUAUAAUCUUGUGGGAUUAUUGGAGCCAUCAGUGAGAUACCACUCUUGUAAUGUUAGAUUUCCAACUUUGAAUCAUUAUCUGGUCAAAGAACAGUUUCAGGCGGGCAGUUUGACUGGGCGGUCGCCUCCUAAACGGUAACGGAGGCGUACAAAGGUUUCCUCUGAACGGUUAGAAAUCGUAUCUAGAGUGUAAAGGCAUAAGGAAGCUUGACUGUGAGACCUACAAGUCGAGCAGGGACGAAAGUCGGUCUUAGUGAUCUGACGGUACUGAGUGGAAAGGCCGUCACUCAACGGAUAAAAGUUACCCUAGGAUAACAGGCUGAUCUCCCCCAAGAGUUCACAUCGACGGGGAGGUUUGGCACCUCGAUGUCGGCUCAUCGCAUCCUGGGGCGGUAGUACGUCCCAAGGGUUGGGCUGUUCACCCAUGAAAGCGGUACGCGAGCUGGGUUCAGAACGUCGUGAGACAGUUCGGUCCAUAUCCGGUGUAGGCGUUAGAAUAUUGAGAGGAGCCUUCUUUAGUACGAGAGGACCGAGAAGGACAUACCUCUGGUGUACCAGUUAUCGUGCCAACGGUAAACGCUGGGUAGCUAUGUAUGGAGUGGAUAACCGCUGAAAGCAUCUAAGUGGGAAGCCCACCUCAAGAUAAG